UCCCGAGGGUGCGAGCGUUAAUCGGAAUUACUGGGCGUAAAGCGUGCGUAGACGGUUAUUUAAGUCAGAUGUGAAAGCCCCGGGCUCAACCUGGGAAUUGCAUUUGAGACUGAAUAGCUAGGGUGCGGUAGAGGGAAGCGGAAGUUCCGGUGUAGCGGUGAAAUGCGUAGAUAUCGGAAGGAACAUCAGUGGCGAAAGCGGCUUCCUGGACCAGCACCGACGUUCAGGCACGAAAGCGUGGGGAGCAAACAGG
rnacentral:rRNA from 1 species